GCAGAUUCGUUGAACACUUAUUCCAGGCACUGUGCUAGAUGCUGAAGUUACAAAUAUAAAUAAGAGGAGUGGACGGAGGCUCAGAGACAGGAUGUGACUGCUCCCUGCAGCCUUUGAGUGUCUCCAGAAUGAUCUCCCUGCCUCAGGAGAAUCAGCCUGAAAAUGCAAUAUCCGGGCAGCCCCAACCUCGUCACUGCCUCAGAUGCGACAUGUGGAUAAGAGAUCCCACAGGCCAGACCCAGAAGCACCCCCUUGUCCCGCAGCCUCCCUGACAGAAGAGGGACCUUGGACUUCAGAGACUGAUUACUGUGACACUGAGGCCAUGUUGUUAGCAUUUCUGGAAUGCACAUCUUGUUAUCUGUAUGGGCAAAUGAGUGUCAUCCAAAUAUAUCUGAGUCAUACUGCUUCAGCCUUAAGGCCUGGUUUCCUACAGUGCCACAUUAAAAAGAAAAACAAA